rnacentral:lncRNA from 1 species
AACGAAAUCUGGAAUAGGGUACUCGCCUAGUAGUAACCUACACUCACAGACCAAAGCCACCCACCACACCCAGUCUCUCCUGACUAACAGCUCCUACCUAUCGACACAAUCCUACAAUUACUACCCCGGCUAAACAGGGACUCUCCUAAUUACUUACUACAACUCAUGUACUCACCCUAGCCUUCUACCCUUAUCCGUGACCUUCAUACCUUCCUAUCUAGGGUUAUGUCCUCGGUAAGCUGAAGCUGCUCCAUGUUAUGUCUAAUCACUCCCCUCCAAUAUUUCUUUGGCCUCCCUCUACUUCUCCCGAAGCCAUCCAAGGCUAGCCUCUCACACCUGUGAACUGGGACAUCCGCGCCCUUCCUCAUCACAUGCCCAAACCAUCUCAGCCU